rnacentral:rRNA from 1 species
UGGGGAAUAUUGCACAAUGGGCGCAAGCCUGAUGCAGCGACGCCGCGUGAGGGAUGACGGCCUUCGGGUUGUAAACCUCUUUCAAUAGGGACGAAGCGCAAGUGACGGUACCUAUAGAAGAAGGACCGGCCAACUACGUGCCAGCAGCCGCGGUAAUACGUAGGGUCCGAGCGUUGUCCGGAAUUACUGGGCGUAAANGAGCUCGUAGGUGGUUUGUCGCGCUGUUCGUGAAAACUCACAGCUUAACUGUGGGCGUGCGGGCGAUACGGGCAGACUAGAGUACUGCAGGGGAGACUGGAAUUCCUGGUGUAGCGGUGGAAUGCGCAGAUAUCAGGAGGAACACCGGUGGCGAAGGCGGGUCUCUGGGCAGUAACUGACGCUGAGGAGCGAAAAGCGUGGGGAGCGAACAGGAUUAGAUACCCUGGUAGUCCACGCCGUAAACGGUGGGUACUAGGUGUGGGUUUCCUUCCUUGGGAUCCGUGCCGUAGCUAACGCAUUAAGUACCCCGCCUGGGGAGUACGGCCGCAAGGCUAAAAACUC